GGUGAGGUGCGAGAGUGGUUGAAUCGGGCGGUCUCGAAAACCGUUGAGCCUUCAUGGGUUCCGUGGGUUCGAAUCCCACCCUCACCGCCA
rnacentral:tRNA from 2 species